ensembl:lncRNA
AGGAGAGACGGGCCCUGGAGGACGCCAGGUAUUACACCUCACACUCACACUUCACUGUUCAACACACAAACUCACAACACUGGAGGAGUUAUGGCAUCAAACCAAUGUUGGUAAAGAAGCCUUUCCAGGGGAGGAGAUCACGGGCAGUGAUUCCACAGAACAGGGUCAACAGGUAGAAUCAUGUCCUUAAUUAAACCACAACUAAAUCAAGGGGAGCGAGGCACAGAUGGAGAUCCAGGGACUCCCGGUGUACCUGUGUGCAGUGAGUUACAAGGACCAAUGGCUGGCAAGAACAUCUCCACCCAUCACUUACAAGCAGCUAAAUAGUGGUCGG